ensembl:snRNA U1 U1 spliceosomal RNA
ACACUAGGACCUGGCAGGGAAGAUGCAUUGCUCAGGAAGGUUUUCCCAGGGUGAGGCUCUUCUAGUACAUGCCGGUUGUGCUGAUCCUGCAGUUCUGCAAAUGCAGCAAACUCAACCACAUUUGUGCUAGUGGGGGCCUGUGUUCCUGCUCUUCCCUG